AGUCAAGCAAGUCUUGUUCUCUGAGAACGCUACAACUAAGAAAGUAGUUGGGUGGCCUUCAGUAGGUAGGACCACUGUAGCUAGGGGCCCCUCUUUAUCCCCUAUAGACACUGCCAUGGCAGGGGUGUGUGACACAGGUUUGCCAGUUACCUAUUGUACAAGGUCUAGGUGAGCCCUAUCAGGACCAGUAUAGGGGCGAUUGGGUGCUGCAGAAUAAUUAGGUUGAUAAGCACGUUGGGCAGGGCGUUGCUGACUGGGUACAGGGUGGUCAGCAGAUGAAUGACCACCGGAAGGAUAGUCUUCUGUGGGAUAACUGGCAGCAUAGUCAUGAGACACAGGGUAACUCGGAACAAGAGGUGGGGAAUAGCCAGCCAUGGGGAAAUCUAUCUAUCCGAGUGGUCUUUCAGUCUGUGGUUGCUGUCUAGGGACCCUGGGGGCAGGACAGUCCUUUCUAAAAUUACCGACCUGGUUACAGUUAAAACAGGCCCUAAUCUGUUGUUUAGGAGGCUGAGCCAUGAGGCAGGGGCAUGGGAUAACCAGCAGGGGCUGGGGCAGGCCUGAUUGCAGGAUUAUGCAAGGAAAACAUGAGGGGAGCAGACUUCCAACUUAGAGGUGAGGGUAGCUGGGAAGAUUCCAGGCCCUUGGCAACCAGGAGAAGGGUAUCCAGAGGGAUAAUUCUAUACUCCGGGGCGGGACAGGAUCAGGCCUUUCCUUAUGGGUUUUUUGAGGC